GGAUGGAACGGAUUUGAGAUGGGUGGUGAAAUGCAUGCGGAGGCGCCCUCAACACACACGUGUGUGUUGAAGGCAACAUGUGUGUGUUGAGGGCGCCUCCGCAUGCAUUUCACCACCCAUCUCAAAUCCGUUAUUAGAAG